GAUGAACGCUGGCGGCGUGCCUAAUACAUGCAAGUCGAGCGAGCGGACGAGAAGCUUGCUUCUCUGAUGUUAGCGGCGGACGGGUGAGUAACACGUGGAUAACCUACCUAUAAGACUGGGAUAACUUCGGGAAACCGGAGCUAAUACCGGAUAAUAUUUUGAACCGCAUGGUUCAAAAGUGAAAGACGGUCUUGCUGCCACUUAUAGAUGGAUCCGCGCUGCAUUAGCUAGUUGGUAAGGUAACGGCUUACCAAGGCAACGAUGCAUAGCCGACCUGAGAGGGUGAUCGGCCACACUGGAACUGAGACACGGUCCAGACUCCUACGGGAGGCAGCAGUAGGGAAUCUUCCGCAAUGGGCGAAAGCCUGACGGAGCAACGCCGCGUGAGUGAUGAAGGUCUUCGGAUCGUAAAACUCUGUUAUUAGGGAAGAACAUAUGUGUAAGUAACUGUGCACAUCUUGACGGUACCUAAUCAGAAAGCCACGGCUAACUACGUG
rnacentral:rRNA from 1 species